rnacentral:rRNA from 1 species
ACAUGCAAGUCGAGCGGACUUGACGGAGCUUGCUCUGUUCAAGUUAGCGGCGGACGGGUGAGUAACACGUGGGUAACCUGCCUGUAAGACUGGGAUAACUCCGGGAAACCGGGGCUAAUACCGGAUAUUCUUUUUCUUCGCAUGAAGAAGAAUGGAAAGGCGGCUUUUAGCUGUCACUUACAGAUGGACCCGCGGCGCAUUAGCUAGUUGGUGAGGUAACGGCUCACCAAGGCGACGAUGCGUAGCCGACCUGAGAGGGUGAUCGGCCACACUGGGACUGAGACACGGCCCAGACUCCUACGGGAGGCAGCAGUAGGGAAUCUUCCGCAAUGGACGAAAGUCUGACGGAGCAACGCCGCGUGAGUGAAGAAGGUUUUCGGAUCGUAAAGCUCUGUUGUCAGGGAAGAACAAGUACCAAAGUAACUGUUGGUACCUUGACGGUACCUGACCAGAAAGCCACGGCUAACUACGUGCCAGCAGCCGCGGUAAUACGUAGGUGGCAAGCGUUGUCCGGAAUUAUUGGGCGUAAAGCGCGCGCAGGCGGCUUCUUAAGUCUGAUGUGAAAGCCCACGGCUCAACCGUGGAGGGUCAUUGGAAACUGGGAGGCUUGAGUGCAGAAGAGGAGAGCGGAAUUCCACGUGUAGCGGUGAAAUGCGUAGAGAUGUGGAGGAACACCAGUGGCGAAGGCGGCUCUCUGGUCUGUAACUGACGCUGAGGCGCGAAAGCGUGGGGAGCGAACAGGAUUAGAUACCCUGGUAGUCCACGCCGUAAACGAUGAGUGCUAAGUGUUGGAGGGUUUCCGCCCUUCAGUGCUGCAGCUAACGCAUUAAGCACUCCGCCUGGGGAGUACGGCCGCAAGGCUGAAACUCAAAGGAAUUGACGGGGGCCCGCACAAGCGGUGGAGCAUGUGGUUUAAUUCGAAGCAACGCGAAGAACCUUACCAGGUCUUGACAUCCCGCUGACCGGUCUGGAGACAGAUCUUUCCCUUCGGGGACAGCGGUGACAGGUGGUGCAUGGUUGUCGUCAGCUCGUGUCGUGAGAUGUUGGGUUAAGUCCCGCAACGAGCGCAACCCUUGAUCUUAGUUGCCAGCAUUCAGUUGGGCACUCUAAGGUGACUGCCGGUGACAAACCG